rnacentral:lncRNA from 1 species
CUGAGGGGUCCCGGCUGUCUCUGGGCUUCACAGGACAGGAGCCACGCUGGCUUUUCCUGAAAAUGCUGUAGCGUGGAUCUUGCCUGCUCGUGUCCAUCUCUCACAGGACAACCCCGCCCGUGCGGCUGCUGGCCGAGGAGACCCCGGUCCUUCGAGCCCAUCUUCCAUGCUGGGGGCCUUGGACCAAGUCCAGUGAUCGGGGUCGGCAGCAAAUCUUUGCCCAGAUGCUUCUGACACUGAUGAAAUCGGAGGAUGUGAGUCAGCCGGCUAUGUCUGCUCCAGAUUUGGAGAAUGGAACAAGGGUUUAGAGACACGUCAGGACUGGUCAGUGCACCGUGGGCACUGAAAUCUGACCCUGGAGGGGGCGGCUCAGCUGGGCCUGGUCCCAGACGUGGCAACCCCGUGGCCCCGCCAAAUCCUGGCGUUCGCGGCUGCUCGUCUUUCCCACCCGCACGGCAUUCCCUCAGCAGACCUUGUGCCCGGAGGACUCACUGCAAGUGUUUCACUUUUUAAACCAAUAUCAUUGUUGUGAAAAAGUUUGACAGUCUCGUCUCCUCAGUGUGAGCCGCGUGUUGACCACCCCGAAGUGACCCUCGUAGUGGGUUGCAGACGUGGGAAC